GACGAACGCUGGCGGCGUGCUUAACACAUGCAAGUCGAACGGUGAAGCGCCUUCCUUUUUGGUGGGUGUGGAUGAGUGGCGAACGGGUGAGUAACACGUGAGUAACCUGCCCCCUUCUUCUGGAUAACCGCAUGAAAGUGUGGCUAAUACGGGAUAUUCUGGGUCUGUCGCAUGAUGGGUCUGGGAAAGAUAUUGUUUCGGUGGGGGAUGGGCUCGCGGCCUAUCAGCUUGUUGGUGGGGUGAUGGCCUACCAAGGCGGUGACGGGUAGCCGGCCUGAGAGGGUGGACGGUCACACUGGGAAUGAGACACGGCCCAGACUCCUACGGGCGGCAGCAGUGGGGAAUAUUGCACAAUGGGCGCAAGCCUGAUGCAGCGACGCCGCGUGAGGGAUGGAGGCCUUCGGGUUGUGAACCUCUUUCGCCAGUGAAGCAGGCCUGCCUAGUUUGUGGGUGGGUUGACGGUAGCUGGAUAAGAAGCGCCGGCUAACUACGUG
rnacentral:rRNA from 1 species